rnacentral:rRNA from 1 species
GGUAGGAUUACCCGCUGAACUUAAGCAUAUCAAU